GACGAACGCUGGCGGCGUGCUUAACACAUGCAAGUCGAACGGAAAGGCCCUGCUUUUGUGGGGUGCUCGAGUGGCGAACGGGUGAGUAACACGUGAGUAACCUGCCCUUGACUUUGGGAUAACUUCAGGAAACUGGGGCUAUAACCGGUUAGAAGCUCUUGCUGCUGGUGGGGGGUUGGAAAGUUUCGGCGGUGGGGGAUGGACUCGCGGCUUAUCAGCUUGUUGGUGGGGUAGUGGCUUACCAAGGCUUUGACGGGUAGCCGGCCUGAGAGGGUGACCGGCCACAUUGGGACUGAGAUACGGCCCAGACUCCUACGGGACGCAGCAGUGGGGAAUAUUGCACAAUGGGCGGAAGCCUGAUGCAGCAACGCCGCGUGCGGGAUGACGGCCUUCGGGUUGUAAACCGCUUUCGCCUGUGACGAAGCGUGAGUGACGGUAAUGGGUAAAGAAGCACCGGCUAACUACGUG
rnacentral:rRNA from 1 species